GAUGAACGCUGGCGGCGUGCCUAAUACAUGCAAGUCGAGCGAACGGACGAGAAGCUUGCUUCUCUGAUGUUAGCGGCGGACGGGUGAGUAACACGUGGAUAACCUACCUAUAAGACUGGGAUAACUUCGGGAAACCGUAGCUAAUACCGGAUAAUAUUUUGAACCGCAUGGUUCAAAAGUGAAAGACGGUCUUGCUGUCACUUAUAGAUGGAUCCGCGCUGCAUUAGCUAGUUGGUAAGGUAACGGCUUGCCAAGGCAACGAUGCAUAGCCGACCUGAGGGGGUGAUCGGCCACACUGGAACUGAGACACGGUCCAGACUCCUACGGGAGGCAGCAGUAGGGAAUCUUCCGCAAUGGGCGAAAGCCUGACGGAGCAACGCCGCGUGAGUGAUGAAGGUCUUCGGAUCGUAAAACUCUGUUAUUAGGGAAGAACAUAUGUGUAAGUAACUGUGCACAUCUUGACGGUACCUAAUCAGAAAGCCACGGCUAACUACGUG
rnacentral:rRNA from 1 species